UUACAAUUGUGGACUCCUGCUUUUUUGUAAAUGGCCAGGUUCCUUCAUUAUAAACGAUUGAAGAAGUUCACAGGCAUCCUACCAAAAGCAGGAGUCCACAAUUGUAACAACAGUUUCACAAGGCGAAAAGACUGGAGGAAGAAAAAGGAAAUCAUAAGGAAAGGCCAACUGGAAGAAAGUUUAAUUCCAGUGGAACAGCCAGACAGGAAAAUAUAUCGCCCUGAACAAAAUUUUCAAAUACAAGAAAUAGCAGAGGAACAUUUCAUCUCGUGAAGCUCAAGACGCUGGAUCAGCAUUGUGCCAUCCCUUUGUGCAAGGUGGAAUGCUCAUGAAUUCAUCAAACUCCUUUACAUG
rnacentral:misc_RNA from 1 species